GGUGGCAGAAAGUGGAGGAACUCCGUUAGAUCCUGAGAGGGAACCCGGGAUCGGGACGCAGAUCGUGAAAGAAGAGAAAAAGAGAAAGACAAAUACCUUCAACAGUCUCACACCAAACCCCGUCCUUCAGCGGGGGACACAUGGACACAUAAUUUGCGGACAACAUCGUGGGACAGAGUCAGCAUUCAGAUCUGUUUCCAGCGUAUCCCCAAAUGUGACCCACCAACC